rnacentral:rRNA from 1 species
UACGAAGGGGGCUAGCGUUGUUCGGAAUCAUUGGGCGUAAAGCGCACGUAGGCGGAUUGUUAAGUCAGGGGUGAAAUCCUGGAGCUCAACUCCAGAACUGCAUUUGAUACUGGCGAUCUCGAGUCCGGGAGAGGUGAGUGGAACUGCGAGUGUAGAGGUGAAAUUCGUAGAUAUUCGCAAGAACACCAGUGGCGAAGGCGGCUCACUGGCCCGGUACUGACGCUGAGGUGCGAAAGCGUGGGGAGCAAACAGG